CCCCUGUGAUGAGUUGCCAUGCUAGUACUGAGACACCAGGUUAGGGGG
rnacentral:snoRNA from 1 species